AUGAACGCUGGCGGCGUGCCUAAUCCAUGCAAGUCGAGCGCACGGACGAGAAGCUUGCUUCUCUGAUGUUAGCGGCGGACGGGUGAGUAACACGUGGAUAACCUACCUAUAAGACUGGGAUAACUUCGGGAAGCCGGAGCUAAUACCGGAUAAUAUUUUGAACCGCAUGGUUCAAAAGUGAAAGACGGUCUUGCUGUCACUUAUAGAUGGAUCCGCGCUGCAUUAGCUAGUUGGUAAGGUAACGGCUUACCAAGGCAACGAUGCAUAGCCGACCUGAGAGGGUGAUCGGCCACACUGGAACUGAGACACGGUCCAGACUCCUACGGGAGGCAGCAGUAGGGAAUCUUCCGCAAUGGGCGAAAGCCUGACGGAGCAACGCCGCGUGAGUGAUGAAGGUCUUCGGAUCGUAAAACUCUGUUAUUAGGGAAGAACAUAUGUGUAAGUAACUGUGCACAUCUUGACGGUACCUAAUCAGAAAGCCACGGCUAACUACGUG
rnacentral:rRNA from 1 species